rnacentral:rRNA from 1 species
UUCGGCUGGGCACUCUAAGGAAACUGCCCGUGAUAAGCGGGAAGAAAGUGUGGAUGACGUCAAGUCCUCAUGGCCCUUACGGGUUGGGCUACACACGUUCUACAAUGGCAUCUACAGUGGGUUAAUCCCCAAAAGAUGUCUCAG